ACGACGCUGGCGGCGUGCUUAACACAUGCAAGUCGAACGGUGAAGGGGCCUGCUUUGGUGGGUCCUGGAUGAGUGGCGAACGGGUGAGUAACACGUGAGUAACCUGCCCCUUCUUCUGGAUAACCGCAUGAAAGUGUGGCUAAUACGGGAUAUUCUGGGUCUGUCGCAUGGUGGGCCUGGGAAAGAUUGCGCCUUUGGGUGUUUUUGGUGGGGGAUGGGCUCGCGGCCUAUCAGCUUGUUGGUGGGGUGAUGGCCUACCAAGGCGGUGACGGGUAGCCGGCCUGAGAGGGUGGACGGUCACACUGGGACUGAGACACGGCCCAGACUCCUACGGGAGGCAGCAGUGGGGAAUAUUGCACAAUGGGCGCAAGCCUGAUGCAGCGACGCCGCGUGAGGGAUGGAGGCCUUCGGGUUGUGAACCUCUUUCGCCAGUGAAGCAGGCCUGCCCCUUUUGUGGGUGGGUUGACGGUAGCUGGAUAAGAAGCGCCGGCUAACUACGUG
rnacentral:rRNA from 1 species